rnacentral:rRNA from 1 species
AUGGUGAAGCAACAAACAAUGGUAUCAUUUUUUAAAAGAAAGAGAGGUCGGGAAAGUGUUGAACAAGAACAACCAUCAGCUCACACCACUCCUAGUUCUCUGGCAUUGGUGGAGUUUGUGGAUCAAAGACAACAGCAAGAUGAUGAUGAUGAACAGGAAGAUGAAGAUGAAAUGGAUGAUGUGGAUUGGAGCCAAUAUGAAGAAGAACCAAAACAAAGCCAAGACAAAAAAGAAGAACCUGUCAUUUUUCGAGGCAUUGAAUUUUUGGAGCGAGAUCCUUCAUUACGCCCACAAGUUUGGCAGUACCCUCCGAACCAGAGAGAUAAAGUGAGGCUAGCAUACUUAAGGUUGGGUCCGAUGCAACCCAAAUUAAAGAAUAAGAAGUAUAGAGCUUCUGUUGUUGGAUUGCAAGGACGUAAAAGAAGAUUUCAGUAUGACUAUUUCUGUAGUUUUCCAUCAUGGUUGGAGUAUUCAGUGGACAACCAUCGUGCAUAUUGUUUCCAUUGCUAUCUCUUUAGCAAAAAUAGAAAGAAAAGAAGUGGUUAUGAUGUCUUCACAACACAAGGUUUUAAUACAUGGAAGAAAGUUCAUGAUGGAAAGAAGUGUUCAUUCUUAACCCAUGAAUGA